GGAAUUAUUUGGUGUUAAGGUCUAUAUAUUUGACGCUAAUAUGCAAAUCUAAGUUUGAAAUUAAGAAGUAUAUAUCGUGUUAGAUAUAUCUUGAAUUUUAGAACCGCAAGGUUUUCUAAUCGUAUUCUAUUUUGGUUAUCCUAUUAAGUUAACUUUAGAUUAUGUCUUAUCUAAUUGAGAUUAUUUCUAAUUUUAAUGGAUUUGUAUUUUUAAUCGUAUUAGGAUUUAGCCACUAUUAUAAAUUUACCUUUUAUUUUACUGAUUUGGGGCGGCAGAAGAGAGAGAGUAUGGGCAUGUUUUUUGGGACUGGAAUUUUAUAAAAGAGGCAUAUUUUGUACACCAUUUUGAUUAUAAUGAAAGUCUCGACUCCGUCUUCAUCUAUGGAUGUAAUCCACAUAAAUAUU
rnacentral:lncRNA from 1 species